GUGCUCACUUUGGCAGCACAUAUAUUAAAAGUAGAAAGAUACAGAGAAGAUUAACAUGGCCCCUGCAUAAGAAUCAUACGCAAAUUCAUGAAGCAUUCCUUAUUUUU